CGAGGACACAGGGUGAAGCUGGCCAUGUAUGAACCAGGAAGUAGGAACUCACCAGACACUAAAUCUGCUGGCACCUUGAUCUUGGACUUCCCAGCCUCCAGAACUGUCUUGGUCCAACAGCAAAACUCGAGAAGAACCCUCUGGCUUCAGAAUUGGAUUCCUGAAGUUGCCAAUAGCCAUUCCUGGUUCUGAUCAUGGUCGUCACCUCCCACUGAACUUGGCUGUCCCGUGACUCACGCACAACCCACAGAAUGAGCCAGAACUGACCCCAAAGGACUUUGAAAGUCAAAUUAGGAAAAGCCUUGCAAACUCUGCUUCGGUCUGUUGGAGCACUCGCUGUGGGGGGAAUCAGCUGCCAGAUAAGAAGUCUGACUACCCUGAGACCAUCACACUGUGUAGAAGCCACCUGUUGAAGCUGCUGGAGAGAGAGAUGCCCAACCAGCCCUCAGGUGUUCCAGCCUCAGAGCCGGACCUGUGGGCCAUGAGGCCUUCAGACGCCCCCAGCCUCCGCCUCCGACUGCACUCACAUGAAAGACCCCAACAAGCAAAAAUUGCCGGUCUGGACCCACCGACCCGCAGAGCCGUGCGAGACCGUGAUAAAUCACCAUUGUAAAUCAAUACAUUUUGGACUGGUUUUCACACUGCAAUGCGUAAACAGUGAUCAUGCAAGCACUCCAACUGGCUUUUCCUCAAUGUGUUUUUUAGUUAAUAAUCACUGUGUUUCCUUAGAUAUUACCUAACCAUUCCUAAAUGUGCAGUCAGCAUGCUCUUUUUUUCCCUCUAUCCAUACUGGGAAUAGUAAUAACAUAUACUUUAUCUAAUAUUUCAAAAUUACCACCUAUCAUGAUACCCAGACAAAGAAUAUUUUCUUUCUCCUUUUUCAGGAAAUGGUUAAAAACGAACUUAAUAAUGAACAUUUUCCAAGCAAUGUUCUACUCCAGAACUCAUGGGAGUUAUAAAAUCACCCAAAAGUAAGAGGGUGAAAUGCCUCACCCUUUAAAUUCUUUAUACCUUGAGGUCUUUGAUUUAAAUCAUUAUUUUAAAAAAAUCAAAUCACCCAGUGCUCUUAAUAAAGCAUUAUUAUUUAAGGGAAAAGGAUAAAACUUUCCAAAUGCAAAUGUUUAUCUGGAGAUUCCAAGACAUUAGUCAGGAGAGGGAUUGCCUUGCUAUUGCAAGUCUGGGUUACAAUAUCACUGGAACCAAAUUCCUAUCAGAUUAGUCUUUACUCAAAAUGAAUGUUUGUAAUUACGAAAUGAAAUAAGUUUUAAUUUGAAUUGACUAAAAAGGGGAAACCAAAUAUUGUGUAAUUACAGGAGAAGAAAUUUGAGAUGGAAAACAAGAUAGUGUUAUUUACAAGUAAAAAGGCUUUUAUGGGAUUAUGGGACUUUAAUGUGCAUAUUUGUAGGAUUUGGGGUGGCAGAAUUUGGAACUAAAAUAUUUUUCAUCAGCAUUUAUUUACAGUGUGCACGCAAGAAAUGGAAUCCCAGACACAUCUGAUAUUGGAUUUAUUUAAACCUUUCAUAUCCCUCCUAAAUCUGAAAAGACUCAAAUGUUAGCCACACAUAAUGGAAGUAAUCGUGGAGUGUGAUAAAAUAAGUAUUUGAAAGCCACAUGCAACUUUUAGUCUCAAACCCAGAACUAUAAAAUCCACCUAGAGGCAUAAUGAGCCUGACUCGCCUUCUUGGAGGAGGAAAAGCUGUGAGGGGGGAAGUAGAUCCUUAUUCUCCCUUCACAGCUUGGGGCACCUGAGAGGAGCCUCCAAAUGGCUCGUAAAUGCUUUACUGGAAAGACCGCCCACAAGUACCAUGUUGCCUCUCUGUAGGGCAGUCAUGUUUUAGCCUCCACAAAUCUGUGACUUCAGCACCUUGUUGUCUCUAUCUUACACUUCUCCCAUCCUCUCCUAAAGCCCCACUUCUCACACCCAGAGCCUAAGACCCUAGGACCACAGAUUGGUCCCAGGUAUCUUUCCCACAGCCUGCAGCACCACUCAGCUUUAUAGCUCUGAACCUUUCUCCCUCACCUUUUCUGGGGUAAAGCCUUCCUAUUGAGGUGGAGACAUUCCUCUGGUGGGGACAAUUUUAUUUACACUAAACUGCCCUUCCCAGAGAUAUUGGCUCCUUACAAGGUAUGGCAAAGAUGGUCCACUGUUCACCAAAUGUUUGUUCCUCUUAAUGCACAGUUGUUUCUGGAAAGUUGUUGGCCAGCCAGGCACUCUUGUUUCCCAGACUCCCAGACACACCUUGGUCAGGUGUGGCCAUGUGAAUGAGUUCUGGCCAAUGAAAUAGAGACAGAAAUGAUAAGUGCUACCUGAUGUCUGGCCCAUGAACACCUCCCAGACAGCUCUUCUCCACGAACUUUUCCUCAUUCAGCUGACUGCAAGGGAGACAAUCUCUAGGGUGAUCUGACAAACCUCCACUAACCUGGGUUCCUGAAUGACCUCAUGGAAUAGGGCCACCCCAUGUGUACAUACACGCCCUCCCAAUGUGGUUAAAUACACAUUUGGGUUUCUCUCUCUUUUUUUUUUAACUGUAAUCAUACUACCCUAAACACUACUUAAUCCAAAGGAAUCGUUCCUUAAUGACAGAUUUUGGAGGGUGGAAGAGACUUUCCAAUCCCCUGCAAAACACCUAGUUUAGAAGUUACCUACAUACAGAACCAUUUCGAUAGACCUCCAGCAAGAGCUUGCUAUCCUUCAGUCACUUGUGUAUGGGUGCCCGCACAGGUCAGUUAGACUCUGCUCUCUGGCUGCCCUCCUGCCCAAGGACC